rnacentral:rRNA from 1 species
UAGCGUAUAUUAAAGUUGUUGCGGUUAAAAAGCUCGUAGUUGGAGUUCUGCCGGUGCCACCUGUCCGCCCCAGUGGUGAGUACGUGGUGCGCAUCUGGCCCUUUCAAGGGGAGCGUAUUUGCACUUAAUUGUGUGGUGCGGGAUCCUUGACUUUUACUUUGAGGAAAUAAGAGUGUUCCAAGCAGGCUCUCGUCGUGCAUAGCUCAGCAUGGAAUAAUAGCAUUGGACCUNNAUUCUAAGCUGUUGGUUGCCAGAAGCGAGGUAAUGAUGAAGAGGGAUAGUUGGGGGCAUUCGUAUUUAACUGUCAGAGGUGAAAUUCUUGGAUUUGNUAAAGACGGACUACUGCGAAAGCAUCUGCCAUGGAUGUUUUCAUUGAUCAAGAACGAAAGUUAGGGGAUCGAAGACGAUCAGAUACCGUCCUAGUCUUAACUAUAAACCAUGCCGGCUAGAGAUCGGAGGUUGUUCGUUUUGUGACGCCUUCAGCAUCUUGAGAGAAAUCAAAGCCUUUGGGUUCCGGGGGGAGUAUGGUCGCAAGGCUGAAACUUAAAGGAAUUGACGGAAGGGCACCACCAGGAGUGGAGCCUGCGGCUUAAUUUGACU